rnacentral:misc_RNA from 1 species
UCUAAUCCGAAAAUACAACACAAGCACAAUUACUCGGAGCACGUCAAACAUCUGUAUGGCUUGUGCUAAUGUUUGCCAUAAAAGGGGAUCCAACCUCGACCGCCAAAAAAGGGCAAAAAAAUGUAAAUUACUAUUCAUCGCAAAUAAAUACAUUCAGUUUCAACCAUAGAUACUUGUAAUGUUAAACAUCACCGCUGGACAGACGAUCUACGUAAAAUUGCCGGUGUAUACUGGAUGAGGAUUGCGAAAAACCGCGAUGUCUGGCGAGAACUUGGGAAGGCCUAUGUCCAGCAGUGGACUGCGAUACACUUAACUGACUGGCUGAAAUAUUAAAAAAGGUUUCCAAACCGUGUCAAGAGCAAGUAAGGUUGUCAGUUGCGUUAAUCUUAGAGAUAUCUGAUAGCGAUCGUUGCUCAUAGUAUGGAAUAUUUACAUCGACCUGCGGUGGACAAGUGUGGAAUAAAUAUGCUACCCUCAGGAAAAAUGAUGAGAGUAAAUUUUAUGAUGCGCGCGCACACUGUCACAAAUAACCGACACCCUGAAGUUAGUCAACGAAGAAGAAGUCAGCAACGUGAAGCUAGCUAGCAUUGAAGUAUAACUUGUUACG